rnacentral:rRNA from 1 species
CAAGGAAUCUUCCGCAAUGGGCGAAAGCCUGACGGAGCAACGCCGCGUGUGGGAUGACGCCUUUCGGGGUGUAAACCACUUUUCUCAGGGAAGAAGCACUGACGGUACCUGAGGAAUAAGGACCGGCUAACUACGUGCCAGCAGCCGCGGUAAUACGUAGGGUCCGAGCGUUGUCCGGAGUUACUGGGCGUAAAGCGCGCGCAGGCGGCGGUAUAAGCAUGGCGUGAAAGCCCCAGGCUCAACCUGGGAGGGUCGUCGUGGACUGUACCGCUUGAGGGCGAUAGGGGCUGGUGGAAUGCCUGGUGUAGUGGUGAAAUGCGUAGAGAUCAGGCGGAACACCCGUGGCGAAGGCGGCCAGCUGGGUCGUCCCUGACGCUGAGGCGCGAAGGCGUGGGGAGCGAACGG